rnacentral:lncRNA from 1 species
GUGGUGUUCGUGCGACGAUGUCCUACGCACUUUCGCAGUCCUGGCACUUUGUAGCUGCUCCACACUCUCUGAAUGACGAUCGAAGGAAGUAAUUCGCCUAACCCGUGUGAAACUGCAAUGUCAGAGUUCAUAGCGUUGAAUGUGGGAAGUUGCUGGAACCAUAGUGGUCGAAACCGACGUACAUGGCAGCCGAAGUUUGGGCAGAUGUGUCGCCAUGCACAAAGACCCAUAAACUGGUACUGUACCCACUGCCUCCUGAUGACGCCAUUUGGAACGGUCCAUGAAGGAGUUUUGCAAAGCUGCCUGUGUGUUUGUAGUGUGAACUCAGUACACAUAACAGGUAGAGGGAGUCGCGGUUACUAACUGAACUACAACCUGCCUGGUAAGCUCGGCCGGGACCAGUUAGUUACGAUGAUUGGCGGUUCCAUAUUCCCACAAAUCAAAUGCUUUCUUUUCUGUCUUCUUCAUUCGUGUUUGGCUGUAUACUGAACUAAGGCAACGGAUGCCGGUGUGCCCAGUACUGCGGCAGGCCCGUUGCCUUGGUUCAUUCUAAAGCAACCCGGUUUCCGGUGGCCGUUGGUAGUUUCAUCUCAGGUGCCUGAUGCGUUCGAAGAAGCAAAUUUUUGCAGCCAAGAGUUGGUGGUUCGGCAGUUUCACACAUUGCUAUCAUCCGACUAGAAUAAACUCUCUGCCGUCUGGGGCCAAGGCACAAACAGGUGAGGAGGAGCUUUCUGCAAAGUCGUCCAGCAAAAACCUCAACCGAGCUGCAGAAGAUUUCCUAGUUAAGAGCAACCUGGUUGAAACUUAGGUGCCAUGGCGUGGUCUACUUCGUUUUGAAUCGCUGUUCUGAUGAAAGUGAGACAAAUGCAGAAAUCUUCUCCGCGUUGGUGUUUUUAGAAGCUGUGGUUGUAGGGCCGGUCUGCUGAAUUCCAGAGCGUGAGCAUGAACCAUAAACAAAGGCGUAUUCCGCAGUAACAGCCCAUUUCACGGCAUAAAUCGUAUACAAGACUCGUCGACUGAUCACGGAUCUCAGUGUAGCAACCGCGAAUACCCCAAUUAUG